rnacentral:rRNA from 1 species
UUUAUGGGGAAAGAAAAAAGGCCGUUACCCCAGGAUAAGUCCCGGCGAACUACGUGCCAGCAGACCGCGUUAAAACGUAGGGAACAAGCGUUAUCCGGAUUCACUGGGCGUAAAGAGCGUUGAGCCGGUUCCGUAAGUUGGGCGUGAAAGCUCCGGGCUUAACUCGGAGAUGUCGUUCAAUACUGCGGGGCUUGAGGACAGCAGAGGAAGCUGGAAUUCCCGGUGUAAUGGUGGAAUGCGUAGAUAUCGGGAGGAACACCCGUGGCGAAGGCGGCCUUCUGGGCUGUUCCUGACGCUGAAGGCGAAAGCUAGGGGAGCGAACGGGAUUAGAUACCCCGGUAGUCCUAGCUGUAAACGAUGGAUGCUGGGUAUGGGGGGUGUAAAUUCCCUCUGUGCCGAAGCAAACGCGUUAAGCAUCCCGCCUGGGGACUACGGCCGCAAGGCUAAAACUCAAACGAAUUGACGGGGGCCCGCACAAGCAGCGGAGCGUGUGGUUUAAUUCGAUGCUACACGAAGAACCUUACCUGGGUUUGACAUGCACGUGGUAGGGAACCGAAAGGGGACCGACCUUCGGGAGCGUGCACAGGUGCUGCAUGGCUGUCGUCAGCUCGUGCCGUGAGGUGUCGGGUUAAGUCCCGUAACGAGCGCAACCCUUGCCCUUAGUUACAAGUGUCUAAGGGGACUGCCCGGGACAACUGGGAGGAAGGUGGGGAUGACGUCAAGUCAGCAUGGCCUUUAUAUCCAGGGCUACACACACGCUACAAUGGCCGGUACAAUAGGUUGCGAAGUCGUGAGGCGGAGCCAAUCCUCAAAGCCGGUCUCAGUUCGAAUUGCAGUCUGCAACUCGACUGCAUGAAGCUGGAGUUGCUAGUAAUCGCAGGUCAGCUAUACUGCGGUGAUACGUUCCCGGGCCUUGUACACACCGCCCGUCACGUCAUGGAAGCUGGCAACGCCUGAAGCCGGUGAGCUAACCCGAAAGGGAGGCAGCCGUCGAGGGUGGGGCUGGUAACUGGGACGAAGUCGUA